rnacentral:rRNA from 1 species
AACGAACGCUGGCGGCACGUUUUAAGCAUGCAAGUCGAACGGCAGUGGGGGCAACCCCAUGAGAGUGGCGAACGGGUGAGUAACACGUAGGUGAUCUGCCUUUGGGUUGGGGAUAGCUUGUGGAAACACAGGGUAAUACCGAAUGAGCUGACGAGGCUUUGGCCAUGUUAGUAAAGGUGCUACGGCACCGCCUAGAGAGGAGCCUGCGGCUGAUUAGCUAGUUGGGGGGGUAAAGGCCUACCAAGGCGGCGAUCAGUAGCCGGCCUGAGAGGGUGUACGGCCACACUGGAACUGAGGCACGGUCCAGACUCCUACGGGAGGCAGCAGCUAAGAAUCUUCCGCAAUGGGCGAAAGCCUGACGGAGCGAUGCCGCGUGAUCGAUGAAGGUCGAGAGAUUGUAAAGAUCUUUUCCAACUGAGGAAUAAGUGGACCAGGGAAUGGGUUCAUGAUGACGUUAAGUUGGGAAUAAGCCCCGGCUAAUUACGUGCCAGCCGCCGCGGUAA